UACGUAGGGUGCGAGCGUUAAUCGGAAUUACUGGGCGUAAAGUGUGCGCAGGCGGCCGAGCAAGUCGAGUGUGAAAGCCCCGAAGCUUAACUUGGGAACUGCGCUCAAAACUACUUGGCUAGAGUGUGGCAGAGGGAGGUGGAAUUCCACGUGUAGCGGUGAAAUGCGUAGAGAUGAUGGAGGAACACCGAUGGCGAAGGCAGCCUCCUGGGCCAACACUGACGCUCAUGCACGAAAGCGUGGGGAGCAAACAGG
rnacentral:rRNA from 1 species